CAGACAGAGACAGAACUCUGUGAAGAAAGCUGGGCGUGACUCUGUCAAAGUCACUUCUCUAUGUCUCAGUUUUUUCUUUAUUUUGAAAUGGAAUUUUGCCCUUGUUGCUCAUGCUGGAAUGCAAUGGCACAAUCUUGGAUCUCAGCUCACCGCAACCUCUGCCUUCUGGGUUCAAGUGAUUCUCCUUCUUCAGCCUCCCAUGGGAUCACAGAAAUGAUGACCCUUGUGAUUUAUGGUCAAAAACUGACUCCCAUCCAAAAGGACUGUGGGACACUCUGGGCCUCAAAAGUAAGUUUGUGGGACAUACACAAACAUGCACAUACACACAUUUUCUUUUUCUCACUCUCUUUUGCUCUCUGUCUCUCUCUUUCUUUCAAACCUAGUGAUGAGCUCCCCGUUCAGGCUGCAGACUUGCUGGUGCUCAUGAUGCCAGUGUGGCAUUGGAAUUCAUCUCACUUUGGAAAGACUAUUAAGUGUCUGUUGCUGUUUUGAACAAGAGUUGUUCUGGGCUGCUCCCAUAGAAAAGUAUUAUUUGGUGCUGCACAUAAAGAAAAAUGCCUGUUAUAAUUCUGUUCUCAUUCUCACUUCUAUGUGGUCCCUUACCUCUGUUCUCUCCUCCACCUAUGCCAGAAUGAUUAUUCCAGAACACAAAUCUUACUGUGUUUCUCUCCUUAACACCUUUUCAUGGCCCUAAACUCUACUGCUCACAUGAUGAAAUUCAAGAUCUGGAGCACGUGGUACAGGAUUCUUGCCAACCACACCAGGCUCAGCUCUUUUGGCUUUUCCCCAGGCAACCUAGGCCAGCUGAGAUUAGGAGCUGAGGUUCCUCCACUCUUCCCUGAGCAUUCCUUCUUCUAACUUUACAGCAUUGUUUGUAUGUGUGUGUGUGUCUGUGCAUAUUCUGAUCCCUCUCCCUAGAAUACCACUCUCAAUUUUCUUCAUCUACAGCUCUGUUAGGAAUUGUGCUAAAUCUUGUCCAAAAACUUAUCAGGUUUGUGUGUGUGUUUUCACAGUGUUUUACCUUGUUCCUUACAUUUCACAUAAGAAUCCAGAUUCGCAGCCUGUGUCCAAAAAGUAGCAUAUUAGGCAAGUGUCAUACAAAGUUCUUAUCUGUGGGGGCUGAGUAGCAACUGUCCAUUUUAGAACACAGCAUGAUGCUUUAGUGCAUUUCAGUCUCCAGCUCGCCUGCUCUAAGGCUUUUCACUGUGAUUUCUGUUAUCUGUCAGCUUCACAAGCCCAUUGUCAAUUCUUCUAAGAAGCCUCUUUACUCCCCAUCAGGUAGAAUAUUCUUUCCUUCCUUUGCGCUCUUAUAGUGCUGUGCAUAUAAUGCAACCACAACACUUUUAUACUGUAUUGCACAUACGUUUGUUCAGCCAUCCUUACUGAGCACAUCCCUUACUGGAGAUUGUCUCUGAGCUCAUUGCUAAGGAUAUAAAAGUGAAGAAGACUUAAUUCUUGCUCUCAAGAAAACUUUCACUCUAGGGAAGAAAAU
rnacentral:lncRNA from 13 species